rnacentral:pre_miRNA from 1 species
GAACCAGUUACAGGGCAUAUCUUCUUUGGCACAUGCUCGAGUCUCUCGACGACAACCUAUUUGGUUUUUGUACGAGGUUUCAGUUCUGGACGUGCCAAAGGAGAGUUGCCCUGCAACUCAUUC